rnacentral:rRNA from 1 species
GGUUCAUUCAAAUUUCUUCCCUAUCAACUUUCGAUGUUUGGGUAUUGGCCAAACAUGGUUGCAAUCGGUAACGGAGGGUUAGGGCUCGACCCCGGAGAAGGAGCCUGAGAAACGGUACUACAUCCAAGGAAGGCAGCAGGCGCGCAAAUUACCCAAUCCCGACCGGGGAGGUAGUGACAAUAAAUACUGAUACAGGGCUCUUUUGGGUCUUGUAAUUGGAAUGAGUACAAUUUAAAUCCCUUAACGAGGAACAAUUGGAGGGCAAGUCUGGUGCCAGCAGCCGCGGUAAUUCCAGCUCCAAUAGCGUAUAUUAAAGUUGUGGUGGUUAAAAAGCUCGUAGUUG